GGUCCUGUAGUGUAGUGGUUAUCACAUCGGACUCUGAAUCCGGUAACCCGAGUUCGAAUCUCGGCAGGACCU